rnacentral:rRNA from 1 species
GGGUUGUGAGGUUAAGCGACUAAGCGUACACGGUGGAUGCCCUGGCAGUCAGAGGCGAUGAAGGACGUGCUAAUCUGCGAUAAGCGUCGGUAAGGUGAUAUGAACCGUUAUAACCGGCGAUUUCCGAAUGGGGAAACCCAGUGUGAUUCGUCACACUAUCAUUAACUGAAUCCAUAGGUUAAUGAGGCGAACCGGGGGAACUGAAACAUCUAAGUACCCCGAGGAAAAGAAAUCAACCGAGAUUCCCCCAGUAGCGGCGAGCGAACGGGGAGCAGCCCAGAGCCUGAAUCAGUGUGUGUGUUAGUGGAAGCGUCUGGAAAGGCGCGCGAUACAGGGUGA